GGGCUAUCUGAGUCCAUGGGCUUUAUGAUUUAAUUGUCUUUGAGCUAUUUACUACUCUGUCGAUUGUAGUAAGCUGAUAAUGCAAAUAAUUCUUGUCUAUAGACACAGCACAUAAGCCCAGUGGAGUUCAGCUGACCUCCUUCCCAGGCUGGGAGAGGCUGUUCCUGCACAUACGAAGCGAAGGCCUUUCAGCGCUCCAGGAGCCCAUCAGCGUGCACAGUCACUGGGCUCCCCUCUGAACAGGACACAACAGCUGUCUGGUUCCUCCAUUAAUUAGAAUCCCUCAAGAUGCCUGAUCUCCAGGACCCUGAAACAACUGAGCUUUGCCAGCCCCUUAAUAGAUGAACCAUCGCUGGCAAGACCUUGAAGACUCUGCCUUGCCUCACCCCGAAAGAGGAUGGAUGGUUGCCUCUGAGUUCUUGGGGAGAAUGACACUUGCCUCAAGUAACAGAAAUCCUGCAAUCACAAAACAAUUGAGGAACAGAAUGGCUGCAUGGGGACAGAGUGCUGGUCAGUGCGUCUGGUGUUGACCCUCGGAAUGGCGUGGUUGCUGGCCUGCCCAGCGUCACGAAGAAGAUCGAACUGUGUAUCGCUAGCCAGGAAAAGAUCCAAAUUCAAAGUAUGGUUUCUACUGAAUGUGCAUCACUUUUGCACCACCACUGUAAAGUCGAAAAACCGUAAGUCAAACCGUCCUAAGCUGGACUGUCUGUAAAUUAUUUACGGGGUUAAGGCAGCAUCUCACAAGCUCCGCUACAGUAACUUACUAAUAUGCAUUUUUUAAAGAUGUUAUCGGUAAACCAAAAGCAGCUGAAAGCAUGCAGGAGUGAGCAGUCAGCUUCGUGCCUUGCUGCAGCUCAGCGGAGGGACCUCUCCUUCCCCCAGAUGACUCGGUUCGCUCCGUUUGACAGCCUUGUCCUCAGCUCUCUCCUUUCUCCCCAGGGUGGCUUCAUCCCGUCCCAUAAAGUCAUCCCGUGAAGAGCCCUAAUCCAACCUCUCCUGCCAAGACCCCCCAGCUGAGGUGCCGCUUGACACACAGCUCCCCAGGAGACAUCGCAGAGACGAGGCGACUGACAGGCCAUAGUCCCUGGCAGCAUCUCUUCCUGCAGCACACCCGUCUGAUGAAUGUUACGAAGGUCAUAAAUCCUCGACUC